AAUCCAUGAUGCAUACAUAAUCUGAGCAUUCCCUUGAAUUUAUCCCAAGCUUUGUAUGGGGAUUCACUAUCGUUCUAGAUGAAACUUGGUAUGAGAUUUCUCAUGUGAGU